GAUGAACGCUGUGCGGCGUGCUUAACACAUGCAAGUCGAACGGUGAAGCCAAGCUUGCUUGGUGGAUCAGUGGCGAACGGGUGAGUAACACGUGAGCAACCUGCCCUGGACUCUGGGAUAAGCGCUGGAAACGGCGUCUAAUACUGGAUAUGAGCCCCUAUCGCAUGGUGGGGGUUGGAAAGAUUUUUUGGUCUGGGAUGGGCUCGCGGCCUAUCAGCUUGUUGGUGAGGUAAUGGCUCACCAAGGCGUCGACGGGUAGCCGGCCUGAGAGGGUGACCGGCCACACUGGGACUGAGACACGGCCCAGACUCCUACGGGAGGCAGCAGUGGGGAAUAUUGCACAAUGGGCGAAAGCCUGAUGCAGCAACGCCGCGUGAGGGAUGACGGCCUUCGGGUUGUAAACCUCUUUUAGCAGGGAAGAAGCGAAAGUGACGGUACCUGCAGAAAAAGCGCCGGCUAACUACGUGCCAGCAGCCGCGGUAAUACGUAGGGCGCAAGCGUUAUCCGGAAUUAUUGGGCGUAAAGAGCUCGUAGGCGGUUUGUCGCGUCUGCUGUGAAAUCCCGAGGCUCAACCUCGGGCCUGCAGUGGGUACGGGCAGACUAGAGUGCGGUAGGGGAGAUUGGAAUUCCUGGUGUAGCGGUGGAAUGCGCAGAUAUCAGGAGGAACACCGAUGGCGAAGGCAGAUCUCUGGGCCGUAACUGACGCUGAGGAGCGAAAGGGUGGGGAGCAAACAGGCUUAGAUACCCUGGUAGUCCACCCCGUAAACGUUGGGAACUAGUUGUGGGGACCAUUCCACGGUUUCCGUGACGCAGCUAACGCAUUAAGUUCCCCGCCUGGGGAGUACGGCCGCAAGGCUAAAACUCAAAGGAAUUGACGGGGACCCGCACAAGCGGCGGAGCAUGCGGAUUAAUUCGAUGCAACGCGAAGAACCUUACCAAGGCUUGACAUAUACGAGAACGGGCCAGAAAUGGUCAACUCUUUGGACACUCGUAAACAGGUGGUGCAUGGUUGUCGUCAGCUCGUGUCGUGAGAUGUUGGGUUAAGUCCCGCAACGAGCGCAACCCUCGUUCUAUGUUGCCAGCACGUAAUGGUGGGAACU
rnacentral:rRNA from 1 species